rnacentral:rRNA from 1 species
GACGAACGCUGGCGGCGUGCUUAACACAUGCAAGUCGAACGGAAAGGCCCUGCUUUUGUGGGGUGCUCGAGUGGCGAAAGGGUGAGUAACACGUGAGUAACCUGCCCUUGACUUUGGGAUAACUUCAGGAAACUGGGGCUAAUACCGGAUAUGAGCUCCUGCUGCAUGGUGGGGGUUGGAAAGUGUCGGCGGUUGGGGAUGGACUCGCGGCUUAUCAGCUUGUUGGUGGGGUAGUGGCUUACCAAGGCUUUGACGGGUAGCCGGCCUGAGAGGGUGACCGGCCACAUUGGGACUACGAUACGGCCCAGACUCCUACGGGAGGAAGCAGUGGGGAAUAGUGCACAAUGGGCGGAAGCCUGAUGCAGCAACGCCGCGUGCGGGAUGGCGGCCUUCGGGUUGUAAACCGCUUGCGCCUGUGACGAAGCGUGAGUGACGGUAAUGGGUGAAGAAGCACCGGCUAACUACGUG